rnacentral:rRNA from 1 species
UACGAAGGGGGCUAGCGUUGCUCGGAAUCACUGGGCGUAAAGGGUGCGUAGGCGGGUCUUUAAGUCAGGGGUGAAAUCCUGGAGCUCAACUCCAGAACUGCCUUUGAUACUGAAGAUCUUGAGUUCGGGAGAGGUGAGUGGAACUGCGAGUGUAGAGGUGAAAUUCGUAGAUAUUCGGAGGAACACCAGUGGCGAAGGCGGCUCACUGGUCCAUUACUGACGCUGAGGUGCGAAAGCGUGGGGAGCAAACAGG